UGGUUGUUAUCAAUAUGCUGUUGGCACCCAGAGACUGACUUUCGAGCCAAUUUAUAAGUAAAUCUCCAGUUGCUAUUAUAAAAUCCCUAACUAGAAGUGUUUUUUUUUUUUUUUUUUGGAAUCUUAUAUUAGCAUACUCAAAUCCUGAACAUUUUUCAUCCUUCCCACUUCCAGUAGGAGAGAGUUCUGAAACAAGUUACCUAAUUGCC
rnacentral:lncRNA from 1 species